rnacentral:rRNA from 1 species
CCUACGGGAGGCAGCAGUGGGGGAUAUUGCACAAUGGGGGAAACCCUGAUGCAGCGACGCCGCGUGUGGGAAGACGGUCCUCUGGAUUGUAAACCACUGUCCCCAGGGACGAAGAUGACGGUACCUGGGGAGGAAGCUCCGGCUAACUACGUGCCAGCAGCCGCGGUAAUACGUAGGGAGCAAGCGUUGUCCGGAAUUACGGGGUGUAAGGGGAGCGUAGGAGGGAUGGGAAGUUGGGUGGUAAAUCUACCGGCUCAACUGGUAGUCGCACUGAGAACUGCUAUGCUUGAGUGAAGGAGAGGCAGGCGGAAUUCCUAGUGUAGCGGUGAAAUGCGUAGAUAUUAGGAGGAACACCAGUGGCGAAGGCGGCCUGCUGGGCUGUUACUGACGCUGAGGCUCGAAAGUGUGGGGAGCAAACAGGAUUAGAUACCCGGGUAGUC